AGAGAAGGACUUCCCUCUCCUGCCAGUGGCACUGGCUCUUGCAGAGCAGCAUCCUGUCCCAGGCAGCAGGGCUGCCAGGAGAGAGAAACUCUGCUGAAACCUUUCUGAGCAGAAGCCUGAUGAGAGCUGCUGUUCUGAAUCCUCUUUUUUUUUUAAUUGUCACUUUGGUUUAAUUUGACAACAACUAUUUGUCACACACUUCAGUAAGGUCAUUUGGAUGUUGCCAUGCACAACGGACUUGUAAUCCUUAUUCAGGGCAGAAAUGGCAGCAAGGCAAAGUGCUCUACUCCUUGCAUAAGGCUUCAUUGCUGGCAGAUAGGGCUACUGGGCGCAGGGACACAGCAUGUCCAUGGGCUGUACCCUCCUAUACCUGCUUUCCCAGCCUGUUAAAUCAUGCUGCAGAUCAAUAGCAGACAAAUGACUCUGCUGGCUAGUGGUUAGUUGAUGAGAUUUUUCUCUAUUGCUACUUCAGCUCAAGUGCUACGAUGAAGCGAGGGGUGUGAAAUUAAUUCGAUUUCUCUCCUGGACAAUAAUCACCUGGCUAUGCAAACCCUGCUGCCAGAUGUACUCCUUAAAAUGCCUCUUUGGUUUAGUGUCUAUGAACAGAGCACUUCAGCUCCCCAUGCAAACUGCAUGCUGCACCAAUAAACAGAAGAAACGUUGGAUGGAGACCAGAGGAGUUUGCAAUUAACACAUUAAACAGAUCGACCGAUGGCAGGAUCAAAAGCGCCGCAGCCAAAAGCAGAGUAGGAAACAAGCUGCACGUGUGAUGUGACCGUGGCUCUGUGCUGAUGGCUUGAUUUAUGUGAACUUUAAAGGCCAAUAGGAAGCUGAUGCUGCCGUGUAAGUUCCUUCUCUUUUUUCAUGUAAACUGCUUCCCCCGGUCUGGCACCAAGAAGAUAACUUCUCUCUCCUCCGUGUCUUUUUAUAACCGCUUAAUCUGCGGUAUCUGAUUCCUGCCUCUGCUGCGUACCCACUCUCUGCUAAGCAAGCUUUUGUAUGUCUGCCAGGCAGAAUUUUGUUGACAAAAAUCACUUUGUCACCAGAGUCAUGUGUAUGCCUGAUGAAAUGCUUUUAACUGACAGAAUGCUUUUAGUUGCAUGAGUUUAGUCAAAUAUACGACAUUAAGUAGAUUAAAACACAAAUUUUGACAGAGGUUUUCCUCUAAGAAAA